CUCAGUUCGGAUUGAAGGCUGAAAUUCGCCUUCAUGAAGCUGGAAUUGCUAGUAAUGGCAGGUCAGCAUACUGCCGUGAAUACGUUCCCGGGCCUUGUACACACCGCCCGUCACACCAUGAGAGUUGGAAAUACCCGACGUACGUGAUCUAACCCGCAAGGGAGGAAGCGUCCUAAGGUAGGGUCAGCGAUUGGGGUGAAGUCGUAACAAGGUAUC
rnacentral:rRNA from 1 species